rnacentral:rRNA from 1 species
UGCCAGCAGCCGCGGUAAUACGGAGGGUGCAAGCGUUAUCCGGAUUUAUUAGGUUUAAAGGGUCCGUAGGCGGAAAUUUAAGUCAGUGGUGAAAGCCCAUAGCUCAACCAUGGAACUGCCAUUGAAACUGUUAGUCUUGAAUUCGGUCGAAGUGGGCGGAAUGUGUCAUGUAGCGGUGGAAUGCAUAGAUAUGACACAGAACACCGAUAGCGAAGGCAGCUCACUAGGCCUGAAUUGACGCUCAGGGACGAAAGCGUGGGGAGCGAACAGGAUUCGAUA